UGGGGAAUUUUGCACAAUGGGGGAAACCCUGAUGCAGCGACGCCGCGUGAUUUAGAAGGCCGUCGGGUUGUAAAAAUCUUUUCUAUGGGAAGAAAAUGACAGUACCAUAGGAAUAAGGACCGGCUAAUUACGUGCCAGCAGCCGCGGUAAUACGUAAGGUCCGAGCGUUGUCCGGAAUCAUUGGGCGUAAAGGGUACGUAGGCGGGUAAGCAAGUUAGAAGUGAAAUCCUAUAGCUCAACUAUAGUAAGCUUUUAAAACUGCUCAUCUUGAGGUAUGGAAGGGAAAGUGGAAUUCCUAGUGUAGCGGUGAAAUGCGCAGAUAUUAGGAGGAAUACCGGUGGCGAAGGCGACUUUCUGGCCAUAACCUGACGCUGAGGUACGAAAGCGUGGGUAGCAAACAGG
rnacentral:rRNA from 1 species